rnacentral:rRNA from 1 species
AGAGUUUGAUCCUGGCUCAGGAUGAACGCUAGCGGCAGGCCUAAUACAUGCAAGUCGAACGGUGUCUUCGGACAUAGUGGCGCACGGGUGCGUAACACGUAUGCAACCUACCUUACAUUGGGGGAUAGCCUUUCGAAAGGGAGAUUAAUACCGCAUAAGACAGUAGUCUGGCAUCAGACAGCUGUUAAAGAUUUAUCGAUGUAAGCUGGGCAUGCGUCCAAUUAGUUAGUUGGCGAGGUAACGGCUCACCAAGACUAUGAUUGGUAGGGGAACUGAGAGGUCAAUCCCCCACACUGGCACUGAGAUACGGGCCAGACUCCUACGGGAGGCAGCAGUAGGGAAUAUUGGGCAAUGGACGCAAGUCUGACCCAGCCAUGCCGCGUGCAGGAUGAAGGCGUUAUGCGUUGUAAACUGCUUUUAUACAGGAAGAAACGACUCUUGCGAGAGGCAUUGACGGUACUGUAUGAAUAAGCACCGGCUAACUCCGUGCCAGCAGCCGCGGUAAUACGGAGGGUGCAAGCGUUGUCCGGAUUUAUUGGGUUUAAAGGGUGCGCAGGUGGUUUAUUAAGUCAGUGGUGAAAGACGGUCGCUCAACGAUUGCAGUGCCAUUGAAACUGGUAGACUUGAGUAAAGUAGAGGUGGGCGGAAUUGAUAGUGUAGCGGUGAAAUGCAUAGAUAUUAUCAAGAACUCCAAUUGCGUAGGCAGCUCACUUGGCUUUUACUGACACUCAUGCACGAAAGUGUGGGUAUCAAACAGGAUUAGAUACCCUGGUAGUCCACACUGUAAACGAUGAUAACUAGGUGUCGGCCGAAUCUGGUCGGUGCCACAGCGAAAGCGUUAAGUUAUCCACCUGGGGAGUACGCCGGCAACGGUGAAACUCAAAGGAAUUGACGGGGGUCCGCACAAGCGGUGGAGCAUGU